UGUACCUCGCUGACCGGAAGGAAGCCCUCCCGGUCAGGGAGGUACAUCGACCUCUUUGACCGGAAGGGUUUCCUUCCGGUUGAUGAGGUACA
rnacentral:miRNA from 1 species